GACGAACGCAGGCGGCGUGCUUAACACAUGCAAGUCGAACGGAAAGGCCCUGCUUUUGUGGGGUGCUCGAGUGGCGAACGGGUGAGUAACACGUGAGUAACCUGCCCUUGACUUUGGGAUAACUUCAGGAAACUGGGGCUAAUACCGGAUAGGAGCUCCUGCUGCAUGGUGGGGGUUGGAAAGUUUCGGCGGUUGGGGAUGGACUCGCGGCUUAUCAGCUUGUUGGUGGGGUAGUGGCUUACCAAGGCUUUGACGGGUAGCCGGCCUGAGAGGGUGGCCGGCCACAUUGGGACUGAGAUACGGCCCAGACUCCUACGGGAGGCAGCAGUGGGGAAUAUUGCACAAUGGGCGGAAGCCUGAUGCAGCAACGCCGCGUGCGGGAUGACGGCCUUCGGGUUGUAAACCGCUUUCGCCUGUGACGAAGCGUGAGUGACGGUAAUGGGUAAAGAAGCACCGGCUAACUACGUGCCAGCAGCCGCGGUGAUACGUAGGGUGCGAGCGUUGUCCGGAUUUAUUGGGCGUAAAGGGCUCGUAGGUGGUUGAUCGCGUCGGAAGUGUAAUCUUGGGGCUUAACCCUGAGCGUGCUUUCGAUACGGGUUGACUUGAGGAAGGUAGGGGAGAAUGGAAUUCCUGGUGGAGCGGUGGAAUGCGCAGAUAUCAGGAGGAACACCAGUGGCGAAGGCGGUUCUCUGGGCCUUUCCUGACGCUGAGGAGCGAAAGCGUGGGGAGCGAACAGGCUUAGAUACCCUGGUAGUCCACGCUGUAAACGGUGGGUACUAGGUGUGGGGUCCAUUCCACGGGUUCCGUGCCGUAGCUAACGCUUUAAGUACCCCGCCUGGGGAGUACGGCCGCAAGGCUAAAACUCAAAGGAAUUGACGGGGCCCCGCACAAGCGGCGGAGCAUGCGGAUUAAUUCGAUGCAACGCGUAGAACCUUACCUGGGUUUGACAUGGAUCGGGAGCGCUCAGAGAUGGGUGUGCCUCUUUUGGGGUCGGUUCACAGGUGGUGCAUGGCUGUCGUCAGCUCGUGUCGUGAGAUGUUGGGUUAAGUCCCGCAACGAGCGCAACCCUUGUUCACUGUUGCCAGCACGUUAUGGUGGGGACUCAGUGGAGACCGCCGGGGUCAACUCGGAGGAAGGUGGGGAUGACGUCAAGUCAUCAUGCCCCUUAUGUCCAGGGCUUCACGCAUGCUACAAUGGCUGGUACAGAGAGUGGCGAGCCUGUGAGGGUGAGCGAAUCUCGGAAAGCCGGUCUCAGUUCGGAUUGGGGUCUGCAACUCGACCUCAUGAAGUCGGAGUCGCUAGUAAUCGCAGAUCAGCAACGCUGCGGUGAAUACGUUCCCGGG
rnacentral:rRNA from 1 species